rnacentral:rRNA from 1 species
UACGUAGGGGGCAAGCGUUGUCCGGAAUCAUUGGGCGUAAAGAGCGUGUAGGCGGCCUGAUAAGUCGGCUGUGAAAGUCAAGGGCUCAACCCUUGAAUGCCGGCCGAUACUGUCAGGCUAGAGUCCGGAAGAGGCGAGUGGAAUUCCUGGUGUAGCGGUGAAAUGCGCAGAUAUCAGGAGGAACACCGAUGGCGAAGGCAGCUCGCUGGGACGGUACUGACGCUGAGACGCGAAAGCGUGGGAAGCGAACAGG